rnacentral:rRNA from 1 species
UACGUAGGUGGCAAGCGUUGUCCGGAAUUAUUGGGCGUAAAGCGCGCGCAGGCGGUCCUUUAAGUCUGAUGUGAAAGCCCACGGCUCAACCGUGGAGGGUCAUUGGAAACUGGGGGACUUGAGUGCAGAAGAGGAAAGCGGAAUUCCACGUGUAGCGGUGAAAUGCGUAGAGAUGUGGAGGAACACCAGUGGCGAAGGCGAGUCCCUGGACGAUACCUGACACUGAGGCACGAAAGCCAAGGGAGCAA